rnacentral:rRNA from 1 species
GAUGAACGCUGGCGGUAUGCUUAACACAUGCAAGUCGAACGGACUCUUCGGAGUUAGUGGCGGACGGGUGAGUAACGCGUGAGAAUCUGGCUUUGGGUUCGGGACAACCACUGGAAACGGUGGCUAAUACCGGAUGUGCCGAGAGGUAAAAGAGAAAUUGCCUGAAGAUGAGCUCGCGUCUGAUUAGCUAGUUGGUGAGGUAAAGGCUCACCAAGGCAGCGAUCAGUAGCUGGUCUGAGAGGAUGACCAGCCACACUGGGACUGAGACACGGCCCAGACUCCUACGGGAGGCAGAAGGGGGGAAUUUUCCGCAAUGGGAGAAAGCCUGACGGAGCAAUACCGCGUGAGGGAAGAAGGCUCUUGGGUUGAAAACCUCUUUUCUUAGGGAAGAAAAAAAUGACGGUACCUAAGGAAUCAGCAUCGGCUAACUCCGUG